CCUACGGGGUGCUGCAGUGAGGAAUAUUGGUCAAUGGACGAGAGUCUGAACCAGCCAAGUAGCGUGAAGGAUGACUGCCCUAUGGGUUGUAAACUUCUUUUAUAUGGGAAUAAAACGUUCCACGUGUGGGAUUUUGCAUGUACCAUAUGAAUAAGGAUCGGCUAACUCCGUGCCAGCAGCCGCGGUAAUACGGAGGAUCCGAGCGUUAUCCGGAUUUAUUGGGUUUAAAGGGAGCGUAGGUGGAUUGUUAAGUCAGUGGUAAAAGCCCGGGGCUCAACCCCGUCGAGCCGUUGAGACUGGCGGGCUGGAGUUGAGGAGAGGUACGCGGAAUGCGCGGUGUAGCGGUGAAAUGCUUAGAUAUCGCGCAGAACCCCGAUUGCGAAGGCAGCGUACCGGCUCCACACUGACACUGAGGCACGAAAGCGUGGGUAUCGAACAGGAUUAGAUACCCGAGUAGUC
rnacentral:rRNA from 1 species